CUGUGGUUCUAUGGCUUGGGGGGGACGCCGUCUCCCUGCCGUGGUUCCACAUCUUCACACACACACACACACUGUAAUAAAGUUUCAUGGGAUGUAUGCCGCUUGCGGCGCAAUAUAAUACAACUUUCAGCAACGGAUCUCUUGGCUCUCGCAUCGAUGAAGAACGCAGCGAAAUGCGAUAAGUAAUGUGAAUUGCAGAAUUCAGUGAACCAUCGAAUCUUUGAACGCACCUUGCGCCCCCUGGUUAUUCCGGAGGGCAUGCCUGUUUGAGUAUCACGAACACCUCAACUUCCGUGGUUCGCCAUGGUGGCUUGGACUUUGGAGGUUUUGCUGGCCCACGGUCGGCUCCUCUCAAAUGAAUCAGCUCGCCAGUGUCUGGUGGUUCACGGGUGUGAUAAUCAUCUACGCCUGUGGUUUUCCGCCGGGUGACCUUCAGCGAUGGAGGUUUGCUGGGGCUUACAGAUGGUCGUUCUUCCUUGGCGAGGAUGGCUCU
rnacentral:rRNA from 1 species